UUAAGCGACUAAGCGUACACGGUGGAUGCCCUGGCAGUCAGAGGCGAUGAAGGACGUGCUAAUCUGCGAAAAGCGUCGGUAAGGUGAUAUGAACCGUUAUAGCCGGCGAUGUCCGAAUGGGGAAACCCAGUGCAAUUCGUUGCACUAUCGUUAACUGAAUACAUAGGUUAACGAGGCGAACCGGGGGAACUGAAACAUCUAAGUACCCCGAGGAAAAGAAAUCAACCGAGAUUCCCCCAGUAGCGGCGAGCGAACGGGGAGCAGCCCAGAGUCUGAAUCAGCUUGUGUGUUAGUGGAACGGUCUGGAAAGUCCGACGGUACAGGGUGAUAGUCCCGUACACCAAAAUGCACAGGCUGUGAACUCGAAGAGUAGGGCGGGACACGUGGUAUCCUGUCUGAAUAUGGGGGGACCAUCCUCCAAGGCUAAAUACUCCUGACUGACCGAUAGUGAACCAGUACCGUGAGGGAAAGGCGAAAAGAACCCCGGCGAGGGGAGUGAAAAAGAACCUGAAACCGUGUACGUACAAGCAGUGGGAGCACCUUCGGGUGUGACUGCGUACCUUUUGUAUAAUGGGUCAGCGACUUAUAUUCUGUAGCAAGGUUAACCGUAUAGGGGAGCCGCAGGGAAACCGAGUCUUAACUGGGCGUUAAGUUGCAGGGUAUAGACCCGAAACCCGGUGAUCUAGCCAUGGGCAGGUUGAAGGUUGGGUAACACUAACUGGAGGACCGAACCGACUAAUGUUGAAAAAUUAGCGGAUGACUUGUGGCUGGGGGUGAAAGGCCAAUCAAACCGGGAGAUAGCUGGUUCUCCCCGAAAGCUAUUUAGGUAGCGCCUCGUGAAUUCAUCUUCGGGGGUAGAGCACUGUUUCGGCUAGGGGGUCAUCCCGACUUACCAACCCGAUGCAAACUACGAAUACCGAAGAAUGUUAUCACGGGAGACACACGGCGGGUGCUAACGUCCGUCGUGAAGAGGGAAACAACCCAGACCGCCAGCUAAGGUCCCAAAGUCAUGGUUAAGUGGGAAACGAUGUGGGAAGGCACAGACAGCCAGGAUGUUGGCUUAGAAGCAGCCAUCAUUUAAAGAAAGCGUAAUAGCUCACUGGUCGAGUCGGCCUGCGCGGAAGAUGUAACGGGGCUAAACCAUGCACCGAAGCUGCGGCAGCGACACUAUGUGUUGUUGGGUAGGGGAGCGUUCUGUAAGCCUGCGAAGGUGACCUGUGAGGGUUGCUGGAGGUAUCAGAAGUGCGAAUGCUGACAUAAGUAACGAUAAAGCGGGUGAAAAGCCCGCUCGCCGGAAGACCAAGGGUUCCUGUCCAACGUUAAUCGGGGCAGGGUGAGUCGACCCCUAAGGCGAGGCCGAAAGGCGUAGUCGAUGGGAAACAGGUUAAUAUUCCUGUACUUGGUGUUACUGCGAAGGGGGGACGGAGAAGGCUAUGUUAGCCGGGCGACGGUUGUCCCGGUUUAAGCAUGUAGGCUGAUUGUCCAGGCAAAUCCGGAUAAUCAAGGCUGAGGUGUGAUGACGAGGCACUACGGUGCUGAAGUAACAAAUGCCCUGCUUCCAGGAAAAGCCUCUAAGCAUCAGGUAACAUUAAAUCGUACCCCAAACCGACACAGGUGGUCAGGUAGAGAAUACCAAGGCGCUUGAGAGAACUCGGGUGAAGGAACUAGGCAAAAUGGUGCCGUAACUUCGGGAGAAGGCACGCUGGUGUGUAGGUGAAGUCCCUGCGGAUGGAGCUGAGACCAGUCGAAGAUACCAGCUGGCUGCAACUGUUUAUUAAAAACACAGCACUGUGCAAACACGAAAGUGGACGUAUACGGUGUGACGCCUGCCCGGUGCCGGAAGGUUAAUUGAUGGGGUUAUCCGUAAGGAGAAGCUCUUGAUCGAAGCCCCGGUAAACGGCGGCCGUAACUAUAACGGUCCUAAGGUAGCGAAAUUCCUUGUCGGGUAAGUUCCGACCUGCACGAAUGGCGUAAUGAUGGCCAGGCUGUCUCCACCCGAGACUCAGUGAAAUUGAACUCGCUGUGAAGAUGCAGUGUACCCGCGGCAAGACGGAAAGACCCCGUGAACCUUUACUAUAGCUUGACACUGAACAUUGAGCCUUGAUGUGUAGGAUAGGUGGGAGGCUUUGAAGCGUGGACGCCAGUCUGCGUGGAGCCAACCUUGAAAUACCACCCUUUAAUGUUUGAUGUUCUAACGUUGGCCCCUGACCGGGGUUGCGGACAGUGUCUGGUGGGUAGUUUGACUGGGGCGGUCUCCUCCCAAAGCGUAACGGAGGAGCACGAAGGUUAGCUAAUCCUGGUCGGACAUCAGGAGGUUAGUGCAAUGGCAUAAGCUAGCUUGACUGCGAGCGUGACGGCGCGAGCAGGUGCGAAAGCAGGUCAUAGUGAUCCGGUGGUUCUGAAUGGAAGGGCCAUCGCUCAACGGAUAAAAGGUACUCCGGGGAUAACAGGCUGAUACCGCCCAAGAGUUCAUAUCGACGGCGGUGUUUGGCACCUCGAUGUCGGCUCAUCACAUCCUGGGGCUGAAGUAGGUCCCAAGGGUAUGGCUGUUCGCCAUUUAAAGUGGUACGCGAGCUGGGUUUAGAACGUCGUGAGACAGUUCGGUCCCUAUCUGCCGUGGGCGCUGGAGAAUUGAGGGGGGCUGCUCCUAGUACGAGAGGACCGGAGUGGACGCAUCACUGGUGUUCGGGUUGUCAUGCCAAUGGCACUGCCCGGUAGCUAAAUGCGGAAGAGAUAAGUGCUGAAAGCAUCUAAGCACGAAACUUGCCCCGAGAUGAGUUCUCCCUGAGACUUUAAGUCUCCUGAAGGAACGUUAAAGACGAUGACGUUGAUAGGCCGGGUGUGUAAGCGCAGCGAUGCGUUGAGCUAACCGGUACUAAUGAACCGUGAGGCUUAACCU
rnacentral:rRNA from 1 species